rnacentral:lncRNA from 1 species
GUGACUUCGGUGAAUCUGACUAAGCUCGAAGAAGUUUACAGAGCCUCGAAUGACACCCACUGAUGAUACGGACCCCUGGUGGGCAGCUUUCAGCGGGGCCUGCAAGGAAAUGAACCUCACUCUGGAGCCGGAGAUCUUUCCUGCUGCCACUGACAGCCGUUAUAUCCGAGCGGUGGGGAUCCCAGCUCUGGGCUUCUCGCCCAUGAACCGCACACCCGUGUUACUACAUGACCAUAACGAACGACUGCACGAGGCUGUGUUUCUACGUGGAGUUGACAUAUAUACACGCCUAGUUGCUGCACUUGCUAGUGUGCCCGCUCUGCCUGGUGAAAGCUGAGCCCCAGGCCUUCCAACCCUCAUAGCUUUCAGCCCAACCACUGCCAAGGAUCUGUUGCCCCCGCCCAGUAAUAAAGCCAGUGUUGAAUGGGAUGUUCUUU